AGUGAACGCUGGCGGUAGGCCUAACACAUGCGAGUCGAACGGCAGCACAGGAGAGCUUGCUCUCUGGGUGGCGAGUGGCGGACGGGUGAGGAAUACAUCGGAAUCUACUCUGUCGUGGGGGAUAACGUAGGGAAACUUACGCUAAUACCGCAUACGACCUACGGGGGAAAGCAGGGGACCUUCGGGCCUUGCGCGAUUGAAUGAGCCGAUGUCGGAUUAGCUAGUUGGCGGGGUAAAGGCCCACCAAGGCGACGAUCCGUAGCGGGUCUGAGAGGAUGAUCAGCCACACUGGAACUGAGACACGGGCCAGACUCCUACGGGAGGCAGCAGUGGGGAAUAUUGGACAAUGGGCGCAAGCCUGAUCCAGCCAUACCGCGUGGGUGAAGAAGGCCUUCGGGUUGUAAAGCCCUUUUGUUGGGAAAGAAAUCCAGCUGGCUAAUACCCGGUUGGGAUGACGGUACCCAAAGAAUAAGCACCGGCUAACUUCGUGCCAGCCGCCGCCGUAA
rnacentral:rRNA from 1 species